rnacentral:rRNA from 1 species
CUGCAAUUAGAUGGCGACCGGCGCACGGGUGAGUAACACGUAUCCAACCUGCCGAUAACUCGGGGAUAGCCUUUCGAAAGAAAGAUUAAUAUCCGAUAGUAUAUUAAAACCGCAUGGUUUUACUAUUAAAGAAUUUCGGUUAUCGAUGGGGAUGCGUUCCAUUAGUUUGUUGGCGGGGUAACGGCCCACCAAGACUACGAUGGAUAGGGGUUCUGAGAGGAAGGUCCCCCACAUUGGAACUGAGACACGGUCCAA